GAUGAACGCUGGCUACAGGCUUAACACAUGCAAGUCGAGGGGAAACGACGGGGAAGCUUGCUUCCCCGGGCGUCGACCGGCGCACGGGUGAGUAACGCGUAUCCAACCUGCCUCUGACUGAGGGAUAACCCGUCGCAAGUCGGCCUAAUACCUCAUGGUAUCGUCUGCGGGCAUCCAACGACGAUUAAAGAUUUCAUCGGUCAGGGAUGGGGAUGCGUCUGAUUAGCUUGUUGGCGGGGUAACGGCCCACCAAGGCUACGAUCAGUAGGGGUUCUGAGAGGAAGGUCCCCCACAUUGGAACUGAGACACGGUCCAAACUCCUACGGGAGGCAGCAGUGAGGAAUAUUGGUCAAUGGGCGAGAGCCUGAACCAGCCAAGUAGCGUGCAGGAAGACGGCCCUAUGGGUUGUAAACUGCUUUUAUGCGGGGAUAAAGUGAGGGACGUGUCCCUCAUUGCAGGUACCGCAUGAAUAAGGACCGGCUAAUUCCGUG
rnacentral:rRNA from 1 species